rnacentral:misc_RNA from 1 species
GUGAAUCAUCGAAUCUUUGAACGCACCUUGCGCUCCAUGGCAUUCCGUGGAGCAUGCCUGUUUGAGUGCCGCGAAAUCUCCCACCCCUAGCGGUUGCCGCAAGGCGCCGCCGGGCGGCGGGGUUGGUUGGGUGCCGCUGCCUGGGCUUUGGCCCAGGCUCGCCCGAAAUGCAUGAGCGCUUAGCACUCGCACCGUCUCGAGGGAAGGCGGCGGAGCUGGCAUCUGCGCAUGGCAUGAUACGUCAUUUGCUGUGUGGCAGCCCAGCGACCCGAGAGUGUGUGUGCGCUACUACACGCCCUUUCAUUUCUGGUCUCAAAUCAGGUAGGAUCACCCGCUGAACUUAAGCAUAUCAAUAAGCGGAGGA